rnacentral:lncRNA from 1 species
CGGGUGGGAGGAUUUUAUUUUUUAAAUUUUAUUUCAUAUGAAACCCUUUUGUGACGAGUUCUUCAUAUAUGCAAGUGUAAUUCUAUGAGGAAUCUUACAUAAUAUUUCAAAUCCUUAAAUAAAUAUAUCUAAUUGCGGCUUUAAAAACUUAACAACAAAAACGUGUGAGAAAUACUCUCUUCAGUUAGACUACUACCUACACAAAAUGUAUUUUGGUUUCUAAACAAUGGUUUGUAUUACCAUAAAAUGAAGCAAAUGCAUUGGUAUGCAACACAAUUAUUAUGAGUACAGAAUAAAAUGAAAACUCAGAGAGUGUUGAAAAUAAUAGGGUUGGUACUUUAUAUGCAAGAUGAAAAUAUAAUUAUCAUGUAAAACAUGAACUUAAUAAUAAAAAAAGUUGUUGUUUAAUGAGUCUUUUUGGGUGUAUUGGGACAUUUGCUGUUUGUCAACAUAAAAAGACAGCCAUGGGUAAAAUCAAAGGCUUGCAUAAAUAAAAUGCGUAUGUUAGUCGACUUUUUAAAUUCAAUAAACGGUCAUAAAUCUGACAAGUUCGUGCUUGUGUUUCAAUAUCUAUAAUUCAGUCAUGUUUUCUGUAUCAAUGGUUUCCACGAAUCUUGUGCUUUGGGUAUCAUUUACAGUUUAAAUUUCCUGAGACAAAGUCAUUGCAUAAAUAAAAAGUCCGCAG